GAGAGAAGAUAAGAGGCAACGAAAAGAGACGAGAUGGCGGAAGAGGAAAGAAGGGAGAUCCUUGAGAAGAGGGGUGAGUUAGAGAACACUGAAGAGGAGGAGGAGAAGGACGAUGACAAGGAGGACAUCCUCCCACCUGAUAAAAGUAUCUGAAGGAGAGCUGUGGGCUGGGUAAAUAAGAAGUGGGAGAAGAGGAACAUCAGAAAGAUAGAGAGAACGUAUCAGAGAGAGGCUGAGGAGGGCCAUAAGAUCGUCCACAUAGAACCAGCAGGAGGGGCCAGAGAACCAUCAGGGGGGGCCAGACAGCCAGCAGCUAGAAGCUCCAGAAGAGGCUGAAACAUCAGAGCCAACCUCCAAGAACAAGAAAAGGCCAAGCAUCUGGAAGAAAAUUAGGAUGGGUCAACAAGUGAUGAGCCAGAUCAACCAAUCAACGUCACUGCAGCUGUUCUACCCACCACCCCCACUGCUCUUCCUCCACCACCAACCUCAUCCUCUUCUCCUGUUCAACUCAUUUGUCGCCCCACUAGAAAGGACUAGUGCAUACAGUUGAUGUCGGAAGUUUACAUACACUUAGGUUGGAGUCAUUAAAACUCAUUUUUCAACCACUCCA